rnacentral:rRNA from 1 species
AUUGAACGCUGGCGGCAGGCUUAACACAUGCAAGUCGAGCGGAGAUGAGGUGCUUGCACCUUAUCUUAGCGGCGGACGGGUGAGUAAUGUUUAGGAAUCUGCCUAUUAGUGGGGGACAACAUUCCGAAAGGAAUGCUAAUACCGCAUACGUCCUACGGGAGAAAGCAGGGGAUCUUCGGACCUUGCGCUAAUAGAUGAGCCUAAGUCGGAUUAGCUAGUUGGUGGGGUAAAGGCCUACCAAGGCGACGAUCUGUAGCGGGUCUGAGAGGAUGAUCCGCCACACUGGGACUGAGACACGGCCCAGACUCCUACGGGAGGCAGCAGUGGGGAAUAUUGGACAAUGGGGGAAACCCUGAUCCAGCCAUGCCGCGUGUGUGAAGAAGGCCUUAUGGUUGUAAAGCACUUUAAGCGAGGAGGAGGCUACUGAGACUAAUACUCUUGGAUAGUGGACGUUACUCGCAGAAUAAGCACCGGCUAACUCUGUGCCAGCCGCCGCUGUAA